CAUUUUUUGAUGAUGCCACGUCACCCUCUGCAUACAACAGGAAGGUGGAUGUUUAAUGUCAUUUCGAGGUGGUUCUCCAGGGUGAGAGUUUCCCAGGCUGCUGUGUGAGGAGAUGGCCCCUGGGCCCUCAGGAGACCUGUGGAGCCUGCAGGAACUGGGCCUCUUUAGACCAUUCCUUGGAAUUCUUUAGAAGAUUCUACCAUGCUUUCCAUCUGGCAUUGACUAGACCAGGGCAAAUAAACUGAUCCUUCAGCUCACAUUGGAUCUCAAUUUAUUGAACUGGUUUGAGCUUAUCACCCUGUUCCUUAACAUUAUUCUCAGGUUGCCUCAUGGGUGUGUACCCAAACUCUGCCAGGCCAAAGCCGCCUGUGGAUUUCAGUUUACCCUGGGCCUAAAUCACCUUUCUCUGAGCCCUGGCCCAUUCCACCUAAGGGGAACUCGCCCCCUAUAAUUACACAGGCUAUUUCGGAAAUCCCCAAAUGGGUAUCUUGCAGUAAGCAUCGACAUCCAAUGUGCUCCUCUAUUUUCAUCUCAGGUGCUGCUGAGGGUGCUGUGUCGGGGUGAGGCCCGUGGAGGGUCCCUGAGGUCCGUCUUCAGAGAUUAAGAGGUCUUUCAUCACAGCCAUGAAGAAGGUGACCAAAACCCCCACCCAGCUUCUUGUGGAUCUCACAGGUCCCAGGAUCUCCUUCCUCCUAAGGGCUGAAUGGUAUUCUCUCAUAUGUAUACACAAGAGUUCGUUUCUUCGUUCAUCAUUCAUGGACACUUGGGUUGCUUCCCACUUUUGGCUCUUGCAAAUAAUGCUUCUAGCAGCAUGAACGUACAAGUGUGUGCUUGAAUUCCUGUCUUCAGUUCUUUGGGAAAUAUACCUAGAAGUGAAUGCACUGGGCCACUGUUCUAGGAACCACCAUGCUGUUUCCAUAGUAGCUGCACCAUCUUACCAUCCCAUCAACAAUGUAUAGGAAUCCAGUUACUCUAAUCCUUGCCAACACUUGCUAUUUUCUUUCUUUCUUGUUUUUAUUUUAUUUUAUUUUAACUCAUCUUAAUCAUAUCUCCUUGUGACUUGGAUCUGCAUUUCCCUAAUGAUUAGUAAUAUUGAGCAGACUCAUGUGUUUAUUGGACAUAUCUUUGGAGAAAUAUCUAUUCAAAUCCUUUGGCAGUUUGUUGUUGAAUUAUAGAAAUUCUUUAUAUAUCGUGGCCAUUAAUACCUUUUAAGAUAUAUGAUUUAUAAACGUUUUAUCUCAUUCUCUGCAUUCGUUUUUACUUGUUAGGUUUCCUUUAAUUUUGAUGUAACAAUUUUUUUUCUGUUAUUUUCUGUGUUUUCAGUGCUGUAUCUAAAAAUAUCAUUGCCAAAUUCAGUGUCAUGAUGAUUUUCUUCUAAGAGUUUCAUAAUUUUGCUCCUACAUAUAGAUCUUUGGUCCAUUUUCAGUUAACUUUUAUAUAUAGCAUAAGGUAAGAGAAAACUUGACAUUUUUUUUUGCAUGUGAGUAUCCAGUUUUCCCAACACCAUUUGUUGAAAGGAUUGUUUUUUUCUCCAAUAAAUGAGAUAAUUUUUGAAAAAUGGAAAAAUGCAUAGUAUAUUUAAAGAUGUAGUCAAAGGCAGACUGGUAAGUGGUCGCAUCCUGGUCUAUAAAUAGCUCAGGAUUUUGGACUUAGUUUAGUUGAGUCAGAUGUUAUUGAUUCACAGGGAGAGAACACACAGUGAGUUGAGGGGCAAAAGGGGAUGUAGUUGAGAUGUACUCUUGGUCUUUGUUAACAACUCUCAUGUCUAGUACAGAAACUCAAAGGAUUUCUGACCAAUAGAUACUUUUACUUGUU